GGGGACCUAGCUCAAUUGGUAGAGCGCUGCCUUUGCAAGGCAGAGGUUAGGGGUUCGAUUCCCCUGGUCUCCACAA
rnacentral:tRNA from 1 species